UAUGAAGGGGGCUAGCGUUGCUCGGAAUUACUGGGCGUAAAGGGCGCGUAGGCGAACAGUUUAGUCAGAGGUGAAAGCCCAGGGCUCAACCUUGGAAUUGCCUUUGAUACUGGCUGUCUUGAGUUCGGGAGAGGUGAGUGGAAUGCCGAGUGUAGAGGUGAAAUUCGUAGAUAUUCGGCGGAACACCAGUGGCGAAGGCGACUCACUGGCCCGAUACUGACGCUGAGGCGCGAAAGCGUGGGGAGCAAACAGG
rnacentral:rRNA from 1 species